rnacentral:lncRNA from 1 species
UUCUGAAAUGUUUUACAAGUAAUUUACAUUCUAUCCAGAACCAAAUUAAAUAACUUCCAAACUACAUUCCAAAGCUGGGGAGAGUUCAUUCAAAUAAUUCUCAGGUCACAUAAGUCAAACCACAAAUACAGCUGAAUCUAUUAAUGUUCAUGGAGAACCCUGAGUGUAUAUCCGGACAAGCAUUUAAAUGACUGUCCAUAAGUAUAAAAACAGAGUAAAAGUCCCCGUGUCAAAUGCUGACCUUGUAGAUCACUGCUGCUGAGAAAUCUGAUCUUGCUCUUUGGUUUUCAGCUCCAGAAGCUCUGUCUUGAGUUCGCCACAUUUUGGGAGGACUUCAGGUAUAGUCAGAUCGGGGCCGUAGUACCUGUGCACCACUUCUGCCCCAGCCAGCUGCGACCAUUUUCAGCUCAGUUCUAACGCAGACCUUAAAGGAUAUAACCAGACAGUCGAAAAGGGCAACAGCUGGGGAUAAGAAGAAUUCACAGGUAAGAAACAGGAAAAGACUGAUUAGUAAGGAGAAUGGUAGAGGGAAUAAUCAUUCCACUUGAAGCCAUAAGUGUUCUAGGGUG